rnacentral:rRNA from 1 species
AGUUGAUCCUGGCUCAGGAUGAACGCUGGCGGUAUGCUUAACACAUGCAAGUCGAACGGUCUCUUCGGAGAUAGUGGCGGACGGGUGAGUAACGCGUGAGAAUCUAGCUUCAGGUUCGGGACAACCACUGGAAACGGUGGCUAAUACCGAAUGUGCCGAGAGGUGAAAGGCUUGCUGCCUGAAGAUGAGCUCGCGUCUGAUUAGCUAGUUGGUGGGGUAAAAGCCUACCAAGGCGACGAUCAGUAGCUGGUCUGAGAGGAUGAUCAGCCACACUGGGACUGAGACACGGCCCAGACUCCUACGGGAGGCAGCAGUGGGGAAUUUUCCGCAAUGGGCGAAAGCCUGACGGAGCAAUACCGCGUGAGGGAGGAAGGCUCUUGGGUCGUAAACCUCUUUUCUCAGGGAAGAAAAAAAUGACGGUACCUGAGGAAUAAGCAUCGGCUAACUCCGUGCCAGCAGCCGCGGUAAUACGGAGGAUGCAAGCGUUAUCCGGAAUGAUUGGGCGUAAAGCGUCCGCAGGUGGCGAUGUAAGUCUGCUGUUAAAGAGUGAGGCUCAACCUCAUAAAAGCAGUGGAAACUACAUGGCUAGAGUGCGUUCGGGGUAGAGGGAAUUCCUGGUGUAGCGGUGAAAUGCGUAGAGAUCAGGAAGAACACCGGUGGCGAAAGCGCUCUGCUAGGCCGCAACUGACACUGAGGGACGAAAGCUAGGGGAGCGAAUGGGAUUAGAUACCCCAGUAGUCCUAGCCGUAAACGAUGGAUACUAGGUGUGGCUUGUAUCGACCCGAGCCGUGCCGUAGCUAACGCGUUAAGUAUCCCGCCUGGGGAGUACGCACGCAAGUGUGAAACUCAAAGGAAUUGACGGGGGCCCGCACAAGCGGUGGAGUAUGUGGUUUAAUUCGAUGCAACGCGAAGAACCUUACCAAGACUUGACAUGUCGCGAAUCCCGGUGAAAGCUGGGAGUGCCUUCGGGAGCGCGAACACAGGUGGUGCAUGGCUGUCGUCAGCUCGUGUCGUGAGAUGUUGGGUUAAGUCCCGCAACGAGCGCAACCCUCGUUUUUAGUUGCCAGCAUUAAGUUGGGCACUCUAGAGAGACUGCCGGUGACAAACCGGAGGAAGGUGGGGAUGACGUCAAGUCAGCAUGCCCCUUACGUCUUGGGCUACACACGUACUACAAUGCUACGGACAAAGGGCAGCUACACAGCGAUGUGAUGCAAAUCCAAGAAACCGUAGCUCAGUUCAGAUCGCAGGCUGCAACUCGCCUGCGUGAAGGAGGAAUCGCUAGUAAUUGCAGGUCAGCAUACUGCAGUGAAUUCGUUCCCGGGCCUUGUACACACCGCCCGUCACACCAUGGAAGCUGGUCGCGCCCGAAGUCAUUACCCCAACCUUUCGAGGAGGGGGAUGCCUAAGGCAGGACUGGUGACUGGGGUGAAGUCGUAACAAGGUAGCCGUACCGGAAGGUGUGGCUGGAUCACCUCCU